UACAGAGGUCUCAAGCGUUGUUCGGAUUCAUUGGGCGUAAAGGGUGCGUAGGCGGUCUGUCGCGUCGGCUGUGAAAACCCGGGGCUCAACCCCGGGCCUGCAGUCGAUACGGGCAAACUAGAGUGCGGUAGGGGAGACUGGAAUUCCUGGUGUAGCGGUGAAAUGCGCAGAUAUCAGGAGGAACACCGGUGGCGAAGGCGGGUCUCUGGGCCGUAACUGACGCUGAGGAGCGAAAGCGUGGGGAGCGAACAGG
rnacentral:rRNA from 1 species